GCCGAUGUCUGAUUAGCUAGUUGGUAAGGUAAUGGCUUACCAAGGCGACGAUCAGUAGUUGGUCUGAGAGGACGGCCAGCCACACUGGGACUGAGACACGGCCCAGACUCCUACGGGAGGCAGCAGUGGGGAAUUUUGGACAAUGGGCGCAAGCCUGAUCCAGCAAUGCCGCGUGAGUGAAGAAGGCCUUAGGGUUGUAAAGCUCUUUCAGUUGAGAAGAAAAGAUUGUGACUAAUAAUCAUGAUUCAUGACGGUAUCAACAGAAGA
rnacentral:rRNA from 1 species